CCUACGGGAGGCAGCAGUGAGGAAUAUUGGUCAAUGGGCGCGAGCCUGAACCAGCCAAGUAGCGUGAAGGAUGAAUGCCCUACGGGUUGUAAACUUCUUUUAUAAAGGCAUAAAGUGAGGCACGUGUGCCUUUUUGUAUGUACUUUAUGAAUAAGGAUCGGCUAACUCCGUGCCAGCAGCCGCGGUAAUACGGAGGAUUCGAGCGUUAUCCGGAUUUAUUGGGUUUAAAGGGAGCGUAGAUGGGUGGUUAAGUCAGUUGUGAAAGGUUGCGGCGCAACCGUAAAAUUGCAAUUGAUACUGGCAGUCUUGAGUACAGUGGAGGUAGGCGGAAUUCGUGGUGUAGCGGUGAAAUGCGUAGAUAUCACGAAGAACUCCGAUGGCGAAGGCAGCUUACUAAACUGCCACUGACAUUGAUGCUCGAAAGUGUGGGUAUCAAACAGGAUUAGAUACCCUAGUAGUC
rnacentral:rRNA from 1 species